GUACGAUUGUGACAACUUACCCCAGUGUGACAACGCUGCCCCGUUACUGAGAUAUUAAAGUAUGCGAUGACACAGAAAACUAACUUGAUAACAAACCCACAGUGAGAAAUAUUCACUGGAAGUGUAACCACUAGUCUCCCAACAAGAAAUAACCCUUAGAGGCAAGGAACAGCUACUGUUUGUUCAAGCUAUACAGGUUGACGAGAGUUGGAUAUCCUGUGGGGAAUACAACAAGAAAAGGACAAACUCGAGCCGGCCAGCAAACAGACAGCGGGUCCUGUAAAAUGCAGCACAGUGGGAAUUCUCAACAUGUUUAUCCUAGCCUCAGCCGGCGGAAGUUUAAGAAGUGAUCCUCCUCCUAUGUGAUGCUGUGCUGCAUGCCCACAGCUCUGAGUCAGAUUUACUCAGCUGUCAAUUUCAUUUGUGUGCCACGGUGGUUUCAUACGCAUCCGAAGGGAUCCCACAGGACCGGAGAAGACAGCCACACGGGCGCUUUUGUUUGUGUCGAUAUGAUAGCCGACUGGGCACCCGAGAGCGUAGCUGACUUAAAUUUGCUUUUUCCAUUAAUGCAUUGUAGUGCAUCAGCAAAAACAAAUAAAGCAAAAAUUAUUAUUUAAAAAAAUAACUAUUAUUUUGGUCAAUACACCAUCAUGCACCCGGGCAGCGAGGUGAAACGUUCGGGCUCAGGUAAUCUCCUCUAUCUUUGUGGAGGAGGGCAGCUUGGCAUUUCGAAACUCUGGCAAUUUUUCCCUUACACAAUAAAUGUAACGUAAACGAAAGGUCAGCCUUUCACUGGUUAUCACUUUGACUUUUUGACGUUUCCCUCCACCUCGUAAGUAAAUAUCAAACUGUUUCUACACGCAGGGCCAGUGUUUCUUUCACACAGGGGCAGCUAGUGGCUCAGCAUUAAAGUUUUGUUACUCAGAUUUCUACCUAGCACUAAUGUCUGGUGCAGUGCCCUAACCUUUGAAAAAGUAUAGUUUUGUAACACCUUCGAACUAUGUGUCAAAAGAGUGCAAACUUUUGGAGAAGUGAAAGUGAAUGAUUUAAGAGGGAGAAUAUUGUAGUAAUAAUGGAAUUGGUUUUAAAUUCAGACCAAGCAAAGAACCUUGAGUCAAAAGUCUGAACCGAAUUAACAUAGAGAAUGUUGCAUUAUAUAUAAUGUCUGCCACUGCAUAAUAAAGUC